rnacentral:rRNA from 1 species
ACGGAAGGCAGCAGUGGGGAAUAUUGCACAAUGGGGGAAACCCUGAUGCAGCAACGCCGCGUGCGGGAAGAAGGUCUUCGGAUUGUAAACUUCUUUUACGAGGGACGAAGGACGUGACGGUACCUCAUGAAUAAGCCACGGCUAACUACGUGCCAGCAGCCGCGGUAAUACGUAGGUGGCAAGCGUUAUCCGGAUUUACUGGGUGUAAAGGGCGCGUAGGCGGGGAUGCAAGUCAGAUGUGAAAUCUAUGGGCUUAACUCAUAAACUGCAUUUGAAAUUGUAUCUCUUGAGUGCUGGAGAGGUAGAUGGAAUUCCUUGUGUAGCGGUGAAAUGCGUAGAUAUAAGGAAGAACACCAGUGGCGAAGGCGAUCUACUGGACAGUAACUGACGCUGAGGCGCGAAAGCGUGGGGAGCAAACAGGAUUAGAUACCCUGGUA